rnacentral:rRNA from 1 species
UACGUAGGGUCGGAGCGUUGUCCGGAGUUACUGGGCGUAAAGCGCGCGCAGGCGGCGGCGUUGGCCCGGCGUGAAAGCCCCCGGCUCAACCGGGGAGGGUCGUCGGGGACCGCGCCGCUUGAGGGUGGCAGGGGCUGGUGGAAUGCCUGGUGUAGUGGUGAAAUGCGUAGAGAUCAGGCGGAACACCCGUGGCGAAGGCGGCCAGCUGGGCCACCACUGACGCUGAGGCGCGAAGGCGUGGGGAGCGAACGGG